rnacentral:rRNA from 1 species
CUUUGCUGGCGACCGGCGCACGGGUGAGUAACACGUAUCCAACCUGCCCUUUACUCGGGGAUAGCCUUUCGAAAGAAAGAUUAAUACCCGAUAGCAUAAUGAUUCCGCAUGGUUUCAAUUAUUAAAGGAUUCCGGUAAAGGAUGGGGAUGCGUUCCAUUAGGUUGUUGGUGAGGUAACGGCUCACCAAGCCUUCGAUGGAUAGGGGUUCUGAGAGGAAGGUCCCCCACAUUGGAACUGAGACACGGUCCAA